rnacentral:rRNA from 1 species
GACAAGAAGACCCUAAGAAUUUUAAAAAUAGUAAUUUUUAGUUUCAAAGAAUGCUAUUUUUUAGUUGGGGCAACUAAGAAAUAUUAUAAACUUUUUUAAAAUAAAAUGAUCCAUUAUUAAUGAUUAUUUGAAAAAAUACUCUAGGGAUAACAGCGUAAUAAUUUUUGAUAGAACAUAUAGACAAAAUAGUUUGCGACCUCGAUGUUGGAUUAGGAUACUUUUUUAAUGAAGAUGUUAAAAAAAGAAGUUUGUUCAACUUUUAAAGUCCUACUUGAUCUGAGUUCA